UGAAUACAUAGUGUUGCAAGGCGAACGAGGGGAAGUGAAACAUCUCAGUACCCUUAGGAAAAGAAAUCAAUUGAGAUUCCCUCAGUAGCGGCGAGCGAACGGGGAUCAGCCCAUUAAGUUAUGUGUGCCCUUUCGUGUACGGGAAUAUCACCCUCUACGUUCGCACUUCCCAGAGCGUUCCACUAAAACACACAUAAUGAUGACGAGUAGGGCGAGGCACGUGAAACCUUGUCUGAAUAUGGGGGGACCAUCCUCCAAGGCUAAAUACUCCUGACUGACCGAUA
rnacentral:rRNA from 1 species